CGUGAAAGGCAAAUAAUUUCGCUUGACGCGACGCGCCUCCAGGGCCAGUAUCCUGGCCACCAAAUUUUCAAGUGGCCUUAACAAAUCACCUGCUCAUUCUGAUAUGUCCCAACCAGCUAUCGAUCACCCUGGCGAAGUGACAGGAAAUGAUUUCACGUCAGAGUGACCAAUAGUCUUCAGUGAGAGCUGGGCAUUGUUAUAUACUGAGUGACACGCAGGACCCACUCAGCAUUCACGCAAUUACUAUCGUUAAGAGCAAAUCAUGUCUAGCAGGAGAAACAGCUUUUUAAUUUUAUUCCACAGCAGAGAUUCUGGUGUUUUCUCAGUCAGUGAUCCAGGAGAAUGAACGGGAUUUAUUGAUGUACAGAAGGGGACAGUUUAAAAAUACGAGUGACAAACCGCGAUAAGAGAGGUGGCGGCUGCUGACGUCAGAGGUGUGUUUUCCGCCCGGGCCGGCUGCGCGGGCCAGACGUGCAGACAGGAAGCUCGUGGGAGGCCUGCGGGGGGAAUAUAGUGCAGGGCGCGCAGCACGCGGCAAGACUCUGCAGCUGAGGUGCCUGCAGGAGCCGGAAGCGCAGGCACGCUCUCAUUGCAACUCCUCUGCGUGCAUUCGGCUGCACUGUGCAUUCGAGCCGUGACAAGUGUUUAUUCCCUGGCUGCUGUACAGAAUCCACAUGGUCCUAAUAGUGUAACUAAGUAUACAGCAAAGUAUUGCAAUAUAUGUUUCAAAUACAGCAUAUGGUCAUUGCAA